GACGAACGCUGGCGGCGUGCUUAACACAUGCAAGUCGAACGGUGAAGUAGAGCUUGCUCUAUGGAUCAGUGGCGCACGGGUGAGUAACUCGUGGGCAACCUGCCCCAGACUCUGGGAUAACUCCUCGAAAGAGGGGCUAAUACCGGAUAUUUGCAUUGCAAGACAUCUUGUGAUGCAGAAAGAAUUUCGGUCUGGGAUGGGCCCGCGGCCUAUCAGCUUGUUGGUGGGGUAACGGCUCACCAAGGCGACGACGGGUAGCCGGCCUGAGAGGGCGACCGGCCACACUGGGACUGAGACACGGCCCAGACUCCUACGGGAGGCAGCAGUGGGGAAUAUUGGGCAAUGGGCGCAAGCCUGACCCAGCAACGCCGCGUGAGGGAUGAAGGUCCUCGGAUUGUAAACCUCUUUCAGCAGGGACGAAGCGAAAGUGACGGUACCUGCAGAAGAAGCACCGGCUAACUACGUGCCAGCCGCCGCCGUAA
rnacentral:rRNA from 1 species